UGGGGAAUUUUGGACAAUGGGCGCAAGCCUGAUCCAGCCAUGCCGCGUGUGUGAAGAAGGCCUUCGGGUUGUAAAGCACUUUCGGACGGAACGAAAUCGCGCGGGUUAAUAGCCCGCGUGGAUGACGGUACCGUAAGAAGAAGCACCGGCUAACUACGUGCCAGCAGCCGCGGUAAUACGUAGGGUGCGAGCGUUAAUCGGAAUUACUGGGCGUAAAGGGUGCGCAGGCGGCCCCGCAAGUCAGGCGUGAAAUCCCCGAGCUCAACUUGGGAAUGGCGCUUGAAACUACGGGGCUGGAGUGUGGCAGAGGGAGGUGGAAUUCCACGUGUAGCGGUGAAAUGCGUAGAUAUGUGGAGGAACACCGAUGGCGAAGGCAGCCUCCUGGGCCAACACUGACGCUCAUGCACGAAAGCGUGGGGAGCAAACAGGAUUAGAUACCCUGGUAGUCCACGCCCUAAACGAUGACGACUAGUUGUUGGAGGAGUUAAAUCCUUUAGUAACGAAGCUAACGCGCGAAGUCGUCCGCCUGGGGAGUACGGUCGCAAGAUUA
rnacentral:rRNA from 1 species